AAUAAAGCAAAGCACUGAAAAUGCUUAGAUGGAUAUUUAAUCCCAUAAACA
rnacentral:tRNA from 1 species